AUGAGCACACUAAUCCCUCAACCAAUGUUGAUGAGAGGACUAAUCCGCCUACAAAUGAGAGUACCAGUCCCCCAACUAACAAGAGCACAAACCAACCACCAAGGCAUCAUAUACGAGAAUUCCAUCCAGCUCACGGUGAAGCUUUUCAUGGACAUAAUGAAUCCCCCAAUUCCAUCAACAAAGGAAAUUUCAGAGUUCUUGGACCGGUAUAAGGACAAGAAUAAAGAUGUGAAAUAUGCACUUAUGAUAUUCCAGAUAAUCAGAAGGAGCUUGCUACAUGUUGGUCAUUGGAGACUUUUUAAUGAUCAUGGGGAGCUUUGGGAGAGAUUUCUUGCUAUUAAGCACAUCACAGAUUGUACAUAUGCCGGAAUUAAAGAAGCAUUGGUUCAUGUGAUGAAGUACCAUGGUUGGCUACGUGGACAAGAUUAUGACGGGGCUUCAAAUAUGAGAGGAGAAUUCAAUGUGAUUCAUGUGGGUUCAUCUUGCAAAAGAAAAGAUGCAUUGCUUGCAAAGCAUCAAGAAAACUUGAUAGAAAUGAAGGAGAAUUUGGUGGAUGUGCUUGCAAUUGUGCUUGACGAUGCCUGGGAACACACUUCUCAAGGUGGAGCUUUAGGUUUGAUCAUAUAG
rnacentral:rRNA from 1 species